UAAUCAUUAAAUGUCUCUGAGUGCGGCAGUAACACGUCUUAGUCGAGUUGGAAAUAUUGAAAAGUUUUUAAUUUAAGUUCGUGAUCUCACUGGGAUUUGACAUAGAAAUUGGACAUUUUUACUUUACAGUAUGAUAAUUUCUAGUGCCAAAAUAAGUUUCGAAAAAAGGAAAACUUGAUUAAAAUAACGUUUUGUGAAUUAGUUUGUAUUGAAACUUUUAUGUAUAUUUAGAUUUAGAUUUCGUUUUCUGUAGAAAUUGAUAUAAUAUAAAGAAAUAAAAAAAUAAAUAUGCCUGCAGAGCCUUCGUAAGUAACUAAGAAUAGUUAUAUAUCAAAUGUUUCAAAAUGCUUGCAAUUUUUUGAUAGAGGUCGCUACUAGAAUAAUCCUAUACCUGUCUGAUUUCAUCCAAUGGUUUGAUCGGUCUAUCGUAUUAAGAAACUUCGAUUCACGUAAUUAUAAUAUGUUUUAAAUGACCUUUGUUGUUCCACCCUACUCCUAAGAGUCGAAGCGUAACCUAGUCUUAAGUAUAUAACAGUCUAUUGCAAAAUUGUUAUGUAGUUUUUGGAAUACUAUAAUAAAAAAUACUGAUAGAAAGCUCAAACUAUGGGAUUGAAAACAAGAACUUAUUAUGAAGAUCAUGCUUUAAUAAUAGAAUAUAUACUUAUACGAUUAAUAUUAAAAGAGUUGAAAUAGUAUUUAUAAGGUUCCUAAUGGGCAAUAUGUGGCUGUAACAUGGUUGCCGGCAACUUUAUAGUUGUAUUCAAAAACCCAAAUGUUAUUUUGGUUGGUAUUGUUCCAGUUAUUAGUUAAGCUGAUUUGUAAACCAUAUUAGUUAUGGCCAAUAGCCAUGUAGUACCGAUAUGGCCACUAUUGCCCGUUUAGGAGCACUUUUGACCUGGUUCUCUAUCAAAAAGUUGCAAGCUAUAAAAAAGCAAGUGUGAGUCUGUGCAUUCAGUGUGUAAUGCUUUAGAUGUUUAACUGAAAAUAUUGACCAAUUGUGUGAAGUAAGAUUGUUAGCGAGUGACCAUUCGCGUAUAUUGUAUUGUAAUAUAACUUUAUCGACGCGUCAAUUUACGCAGUUUUAAAUAUAUAAAGGGAAACUAUGUUCUUUUGCAUAAAUACAUAAGUAGUUCAAUGAAAUCAUGCCUUGUAUUUUAUGCCUCGGAGUGACUCGGGAAUAUUUGUACCUACCUACUAAAUUUGUUUUUUAUUUUUCUUUUCGUGGAACCAACAAUAAAUACGGAUAAUGUGUAUUUUUUAAACAGUGUCGAAAGUACUUUUAGUAGUAGUCGCGAUGUUUGUAACUGAUUUUGUAUGUACCAAAAUUAUUGUUAAAUUGUAAUAUUGAAGGAUGGUAUACAUAUAAGUGAAACUGGGUGUAAGUUCAUUGGAUGCGAGCACGGUGCCUUUCUAUUAUAUAUAAGCCUUAUAGUUAGACGCUGAAGAACUGUUUUCCUAUGACAAAAUAAUUUUAGAUCAAGAAAGCUCAGGUUUGUUUUUAAAGAGAGAAUAUACACUUCUAUUGAAAGUUAUAAUGUAUCGGAACAGGGCCUGUUUAUGUGAAAACGUGUUCAUAUAUAAAAAAAUAUAAUCCUUUGGUUGAAUUUUUUGCAAAUAAUUACGCAUUUAGAUUGAACUUUCAUCCCGUUCCACGGUUUUAUUUGUUCCAUACUAUUUUGAGAGCUGUAGUAUUCGUAAAUUGAUUUGUUAACAAAAACAUCGAACGUUUUGACCGAGGUAUUUUAGGAAAAAAGUAAAUAGAAUUGUUAAAAUGUUUGUAAAGUCCGCUCUCAAAGUAAUCUGGAGAAAAUUCGACGUUUUAAGUUUUUUUUAUUCAUAAGAAAAUGUGUGUAUGAGUUCAGUAGGAACAGUGUUAUUUUAGUAUUCGCGUUAUGUCUUAAGUUUUGUUGUACGAUGUUUUAUUUCUAUAGAUAUUUAAUAUCCACAUUGUAUAUAGUAGAUAGUACAAAAAUAUAAAAAUGAAAAAGUUUAAAAAUUA